UACGGGGGGGGCAAGCGUUGUUCGGAAUUACUGGGCGUAAAGGGCUCGUAGGCGGCCAACUAAGUCAGACGUGAAAUCCCCAGGCUCAACCUGGGAACUGCGUCUGAUACUGGAUGGCUUGAAUUCGGGAGAGGGAUGCAGAAUUCCAGGUGUAGCGGUGAAAUGCGUAGAGAUCAGGAAGAACACCGGUGGCGAAGGCGCUCUGCUAGGCCGUAACUGACACUGAGGGACGAAAGCUAGGGGAGCGAAUGGG
rnacentral:rRNA from 1 species